GCCAAAAACCACCACAUGCCCGUCGCCUUCGCCUCCGCUCCCGACUGCCCAGGUCGGCUAGUCCCCCGCCCUUCCUCCCCCUCACGAAGCGGCGGCGGCGGCGGCAAGAUGGUGAAGAAAAGCAAGAAGAGCAAGAGCAAGCGCGUCACGCUGCGUCAGAAGCACAAGGUGCUGCGCAAGGUGAAGGAGCACCACCGUAAGAAGCGCAAGGAGGCCAAGAAGGAGGGCAGGGCGGGCCAGCGGAAGAAGGUCGAGAAGGACCCCGGGAUCCCCAACGAGUGGCCCUUCAAGGAGCAGGAGAUCAAGGCCCUCGAGGCGCGCCGCGCGCAGGCGCUGCAGGAGCUCGAGCUCAAGAAGGAGGCGCGCAAGGAGAGGGCUCGGAAGAGGAAGCUCGGGUUGCUUGAGGAUGAGGACAUUACUAAUUUGGCCUCUGCAGCUUCUGCGCAGGGCAGUGAGUUUGCACAAAAAGAUGCAGAAAAAGAGAAUGCUCCUUUAGCAGUGGCAAAGAACCAUGAUCAUUCAGAGAGGUCUUUCUACAAGGAACUUGUUAAAGUAAUUGAAGCUUCUGAUGUGAUUCUCGAGGUUCUUGAUGCAAGGGACCCAUUGGGAACCCGUUGCAUUGACAUGGAAAUAUGGUUAGGAAGGCCGACCCAAGCAAACGGAUUGUGCUACUUCUGAACAAGAUAGAUCUUGUUCCCAAGGAGGCGGUAGAGAAAUGGCUUACAUAUCUAAGAGAAGAAAUGCCAACUGUUGCAUUUAAGUGCAAUACCCAAGAACAGAGGACCAAGCUGGGAUGGAAAUCUUCAAAACUUGAUAAAACAAGCAACAUCCCACAAAGCAGUGAUUGUCUUGGUGCUGAGAAUCUAAUCAGAUUACUCAAGAAUUAUUCCAGAAGCCAUGAGCUCAAACUGGCAAUUACAGUGGGUAUUGUUGGGCUUCCUAAUGUUGGCAAGAGCAGUCUGAUCAACAGCUUGAGGAGGUCCAGAGUGGUUAAUGUUGGUUCCACUCCAGGGGUUACUAGAUCAAUGCAAGAAGUUCAAUUAGACAAGAAGGUGAAGUUGCUGGAUUGUCCUGGUGUUGUGAUGCUCAAAUCUUCUAACAGUGGUGUGUCCGUAGCCCUUCGCAACUGCAAAAGAGUUGAGAAAAUGGAAGAUCCAGUCAGUCCUGUUAAGGAGAUACUAAGUCUUUGCCCACAUGAGAAGCUGCUGUCUCUGUACAAGGUGCCAAGCUUUAGUUCAGUUGAUGAUUUCCUUCAGAAAGUUGCAACACUCCGGGGGAAAUUGAAAAAAGGUGGUGUAGUGGAUGUUGAAGCUGCUGCAAAAAUCGUGCUUCAUGACUGGAAUGAAGGUAAAAUACCAUAUUAUACACUGCCACCUAAAAGAGAUGCUGGGGAGGACUCAGAUGCAGUGAUUAUUUCAGAAUCUGGGAAAGAAUUUAAUAUUGAUGAAAUUUACAAAGCCGAGUCUUCUUAUAUUGGUGGUCUAAAAUCUAUUGAGGGUUUCCAUCAUAUAGAGAUUCCACCGAAUGCCCCACCAGGGAUCGAUGAAGAGAUGCUGGAGGAUGGAAAGAAGCCGAGCGAACCUGUCCAGGAAAGCCACGAGGAGUCGAUGUCUGAUGCAAAUGACUGCGAAGGAAGCAAGGCAAGCAGUACUAGCACACAGCAUGACAAGCUUUAUACCGCCGAGGGCAUACUUGAUCCUCGGAAGAGAAAAGCAGAGAAGAAAAGGCGCAAGGCAAACAAGUUCAGCGUGCUGAACGACAUGGAUGAGGACUAUGAUUUUAAGGUGGAUUAUCAAAUGAAGGAUGCUGCAGCCAAUGGUGGGGAUGAUGAGAGCGACGAGGCAGCAGCUGAUGGUAAAGAUGAUGGAGAUGAAGACAAGGAAAAUGACCAGAUGACCACGUGAAAUAAUGUAGCCCCUUCUUCAAUGUGUGUUGAGUGCCAAAAAUGAGCAUGUGGUGGGUUGCAAAAUUAACCCGCGACAGUUUUAUGCUCAGUUUGUUUGAAAUGAGAAGAUGAUAGAUGUUAACUAUUAUGAAACGUUUAUUUGAAAUGAGAAGAUGAGUAGGCUUGUCUGUGUUUCACCA